rnacentral:rRNA from 1 species
AUUGAACGCUGGCGGCAUGCCUUACACAUGCAAGUCGAACGGCAGCACGGGUGCUUGCACCUGGUGGCGAGUGGCGAACGGGUGAGUAAUACAUCGGGACGUACCUUAUCGUGGGGGAUAACGCAGCGAAAGCUGUGCUAAUACCGCAUACGCCCUGAGGGGGAAAGCGGGGGAUCGCAAGACCUCGCGCGAUUAGAGCGGCCGAUGCCUGAUUAGCUUGUUGGUGGGGUAAAAGCCCACCAAGGCGACGAUCAGUAGCUGGUCUGAGAGGACGAUCAGCCACAAUGGGACUGAGACACGGCCCAGACUCCUACGGGAGGCAGCAGUGGGUAAUUUUGGACAAUGGGGCAACCCUGAUCCAGCAAUGCCGCGUGAGUGAAGAAGGCCUUCGGGUUGUAAAGCUCUUUUGUCAGGGAAGAAACAUCGGCUCUAACACAGUCCGGGAAUGACGGUACCUGAAGAAUAAGCACCGGCUAACUACGUGCCAGCCGCCGCAGUAA